rnacentral:rRNA from 1 species
UACAGAGGUCUCAACCGUUGUUCGGAUUCAUUGGGCGUAAAGGGUGCGUAGGCGGUCGCGCAAGUCGGAUGUGAAAUCUCAGGGCUCAACCCUGAAACUGCAUUCGAUACUGCGUGGCUAGAGUGCUGGAGAGGUGAGUGGAAUUUCCGGUGUAGCGGUGAAAUGCGUAGAUAUCGGAAAGAACACCAACGGCGAAAGCACUCUGCUGGGCCGACACUGACACUGAGAGACGAAAGCUAGGGGAGCGAAUGG